rnacentral:piRNA from 1 species
UGUGUGUCAUAAACAGUAUGUAUUCUGUUGU